UGGAAGAUGUCGUGGGUAAGCAUGUUU
rnacentral:piRNA from 1 species